rnacentral:misc_RNA from 1 species
AACAUCGCGCACCUGCGGGAACCUGCGGAAGGAUCAUUACAGAGUUGCAAAACUCCCUAAACCUUUGUGAACGUUACCUAAACCGUUGCUUCGGCGGGCGGCCCGGGUCCUUCCCGGCGCCCCUCGGCCCUCGCGGGCGCCCGCCGGAGGUAAACCAAACUAUUGCAUUGUAUGGCCUCUCUGAGUCUUCUGUACUGAAUAAGUCAAAACUUUCAACAACGGAUCUCAGAUCGGAAGAGC